UAAACCUCGAAGAGACUUGCACUACACCCGUGUGAAUACUCUAUCCGCACACCGUGGUUCGCCAAAAAAAGGGUCGUCCCGGUUCCGAUUCAAUUCGUGCCGUGGUGCGGUUCGCUGCUGGUGAGAACGCAGUCCGUACAAUGGAAAAUAUUAUGGUUAUUGUUUGACUGCGAGCAUUUGAUGAAAUACACGCAGCAUCAUAACCUGAGAUCUCUGAAACGUUCGAUCAUUGGCCAGGUCCUUUCAAGGGGAGUCCUGUAGCAUCCUGCAGCCUUCUUCAAGAGGUCACAGCGAAAUCAGAGAAAUAACUGACCUCCACCAGCCUCUCCACUGCUACAGGAUUGUUGCACCACAGCUUCCAGCAUCCAGUGGCCACCAGCCACGAGCACUGAGUGGUUGGGUGCUGUCCCGGGCUAGUGUACCUC